CUAAAAUGAUGUAAACCUUAUUCCGAAAUACCAUGUGGUUACAAAAUAUACGAGCUUUUUAACACUGAUUAGU